rnacentral:lncRNA from 1 species
GAUUCAUAGCUUAUAAAAUUUCUUAUACCAUAAACUGUUUCCACAUGUCAAUUCUAAUUUCGUAUGGAAUCUCUAACCAACUAUUCCAUGGCUCUUUGAAAAAUGGUUUAAUUGCUUCUAUAACCAUAUGCCCGGCGGCAUAUGUUGGAAUGAACCUACAAUAAAAUUAUAUUAAACUAUUAUCUUAGCUUUUAAAAAUUAAGGAAUAACUUAAGGGUUACUUACCCAUCACAAUAAGGGACGAUUUGUAGCCUCCCAAACUUGUCAUAUUCUAAUACCUUUUUAAAUUGCAUAUUCUCAGAAGAAACUGUCGUAGCAUUAGAGGUUGUAUCAUUAUAAAUGAAUGGUGAUGUUGGUAUGUUAGGACCUCCAAUUCUUAAUCCAGAAAGGCUUGGGUGUGGAUGAUGUCGAAGGCACAGAUGAAGAGAUACUAUGCAAACUAUUUUUGGGAUAAAGAGGUGUGGAACUGGUCAGACAAUAGAGGCAUGAAAAAUGUAUUUGGUAGUGAAAUAGUUGAUCUAGGAGGGGAGGAAUAUUUUUAGUAGUUGGUUGAAGAGUUGUGGUAACAGGUGGUGGUGGUGGUGUAUAUUGACCUGCAGCAAGAUUAUCAGGUCCUUUCUUACUUUUCUUACGUCAUCCAUUAGCAUUACCUUUUGAUGUUAUUGAUUUUCUUUACUAACCACCUGAAAAAGAAAGAACAACCAAAGAUUCAGCUGGUGAAAAGUUGUAAAUAGAAGAAAUUGAUAUCCUUACAGAAAAUUCAACUGGCUAAGGGAUCCAAUUGUGUCUGGUAUCAGUCCAGAAUACCCGCAACCAACGAGGAUCCUACAAGGAAGGUAGGAGCAAUUACUCUCUAGAAAUAAAGAAACAAGCUGGUGCAUUAACAACAUUUGAGCAUUAUCAUCAUGUAAUUCCCUUACAGAAUUGAUAAACUCUUCAAACUUCCAAUUGAUUAAGAGAGCGAACCAGUCAAGCCUUUGUUGUAUGAUAGAUCCCUAUAAAGGAAACAUAGAAAUAAAACAGAAUCUAAGAACUUCAACAGUCAAGAAUAAUAGUUGUGCAUACAUUGCAUAAACACAAGCACGACAAGUUUAAUUGUUUAUUUCAUGCAAAGUAGAAAGCUUCAGGUGCUUCAAGAUUACGUAUAAGUAAUGUUUAUUUUGUGAUCAUCUCGCAAAGGUGGCACUGGGAUAACAUAAGGAAUUCAAGUUCAAGCUAGUACUAACCCAAUAAAUUUCUUUUUUCAGUCAUUAAAAUAGAAGGGAGAUGGCAAAGAUGCUUUCAGCAUAUGAGUUAUAAGCCUUACACAAAAAUAAAAAAGUAGUGCUAAGGCUCUGCUCCAUCAUGCCUGUUUAGUUCCACUACUUGAUAAUUUAUCUUUUAUCUUUUAGGGCAUUCUUUAUCGGUACCAGCCAAUCGUUAUUGUUAUCUUCUUUCUUGUAGCUUCUUUUGUUCUUUAGCUUUAGUUUUUUAUUUUGAUUUCGCCGGCUUAGCUUUCCGUUGAAGUAAGGAUAGAGCUGAAAUUUUGUAGUCCACAAAAAAGGUUCAGAACCAAAUCAGAGAACGAUUAAUCUAAACGGAGAAAAAGUAUAUCUAGCACCAAAAAAGAGCUUCAUGCAUCAAGAAAGCAAGAAGGACAGCUCAAGCAGUAGCAAAUGCUCUCAUUAAAGCCCACAGAUAUUUUAACAGCAUGGACAAUUUCGAUUCUCACAGAGGAAAAACACAAAAGGAUCCCUUAUCUUUGAAGAUAGAACUAAUACGAUCUUCUAUGUAUAAUAUGGAGCAGUAAUAGUCCAUCAGAAAAGUAAACGAGUUUGGCAACAUAGUAUAUGAUAGGCUCACACUGUUAGUCAUGUAUUCAAGGACAGUUAUCCUGUUAUUUUUGUGAUCAAACUAACAGCUGAAAAUGGGGUCCUUCAUUUUGAAAAAAGAUUAAAUGUAACAGCCUGUAUAAUCAUUCAAAUAAGCUUGACUAUCAUUCAAAGCAUUUUAUUCAUCUCCAAAAUUGAGGGAGCCUUUUUUGUUCACUUACUCCACAUUUUUUUAAUAGAUGUGCCUAGGUGAUCGGGUCAAUUUCCACACACCUCAAUUAUUUAUUAAUCUCCUAAUGCAUAUUAUCUCCCACUAGCAUAGGUAGCCGAUAACUUUGUUAAACAGAGGGGAAAAAAUCACCCAGCGUUAACUAAAAUCUAAAAAAUGGUCUACAAUGAUUUUCACUCAAUGAACCCUAGGCCAGUCCUGAGAUAUUUACUCUUACAUUUUCUAAUCUGAUACAGCUAUCACUUUUUCCCUUAGCUCAUCACUUGUCACUAAUAUAGCACGGUACAAAUUAGGGUCGAAGGUUAGUUGAUAGUCGAGAGUUGUCUAGUUUCCUAUCAGUUUUGUUAUUGUUACUCUCUUACCAUCUUUUUCCGAUUCUAGUAGUACAUGUUGUUCCUUUUACUUCCAUUAUCAGAUUAUAUGUUGUUGCUACUUGAUCCCUUCUAUUUUUUGACCGCUGCAAUUGAAAAAUAACAAUUGUCAUAAAGUUUUAUCUGUGAAAUUUGGUUAACAAUAAAACUAGUCCCCAAAGGUGAUAACAACUCACUACAUGGAAGGCAUGUCUUAGACUUGAAAAUUACAAAUUGGAUUGCAAAGAGACAGUUCAGCUCCUAAAAGGUCAUGACUUUGUGACUCUCCUAGCCUCUCACAAAAUAAUUGUCCUACCUUUUUUAUCUUUCAGGAUAGAAGAUUCCAUUGACAACCUCUAUUCGUGUCCUUAAAUCGAUUGUAAUCUCCAACAGUAAAACUAAAAAAAAUUAUAGAUAUCCCUUUCCAUUGUAUAGAAUUGCUGUAUCAUAAUGGUAGAUUUCACUUUCGUUACACUCACACAGAAAUUUCUACCAACAGAAAUCCUAUGGUUACAAGCAGUUCAAUAGUCAUCAAGAAAAUAUCUCUAGAAGCGGCGAAUCAAAAUGAGAAAUGGAAUAAAACAGUUACAUGGAUAUAGGACCUUCCACCAUCCGAAAGAUUAGUUUUCACUGCUCUAAGGCGCAUAGCAAAGAUUAAUAUGCAGCAGUGCUUGAAAAUUGCCAUAAGAACUCCAACAGAGGGAUAUGCAACCUGUUAGCAUCUACUAAGCUUGAAGUGAAUAACAGCAGUUCAAGAAUGAGCAGAGAAAAUGAAUAUUUACCCCUGAGAUACCCAAAUCCCCUGAUCAUUGAUACCUCAAUAGUCGAAAACAAACACCCGUCAUCUUGUCUAAUUUGCCUUAAUUCCUCAACCUUCAAACUUACACUUCCAAUAUAACCAAUAAACUCACACCAAGCACUAAUCUUCUGUAAACUACUCAAGUUCUUCUUAUUUUGCAGAAAACAGACUACAUUGCUUUAAAAAAACUAAUUUUUAUCGCUAACUAAUCCUACGACAACAUAAACUUCCAAAUCAACAAGAAAUCCAAUUCUUAUGUGUGCUAACAAGAGCUGACAACAACCCAACCAAAUUGUUCAACAGAUUCCAAUAUUACUCUUCCCUAUUCUCCUCUUCUCCCCCUAGUCCCCCCAAACCUUAUAUAUAAAUGUGUUUGGUACGACGAUAGCUUUUCAUACAUGAUAUUAAAAGCUAGUAAUAUAGUUAUAGUUGUGUCAAAUAAGUGGAUUAACAUUGAAUUUGGACGAGUUAAAAUAGAAUAUCAGUAAAUGGAUACCUCAGUUAUCAAGAUAAAUUGUAGAAUGAAAGACUUGUUGGUGCUUAAGAUAUCUUACAACAGUAGGCCUCUUGCGUGAACCAACUUUUAUUCUUCCACGCAAAUCCUCACAAUCUUCCUGCCAAGAAAACGAGAAAUUCUUACCAAAAAGGAAACAAAUACAAUAUCGAACGAAUGAAACAACACUGUAG